UAUUGGUCAAUGGUCGGGAGACUGAACCAGCCAAGCCGCGUGAGGGAUGAAGGUACAGAGUAUCGUAAACCUCUUUUGUCAGGGAACAAAGGCGGGGACGUGUCCCCGGAUGAGUGUACCUGAAGAAAAAGCAUCGGCUAACUCCGUGCCAGCAGCCGCGGUAAUACGGAGGAUGCGAGCGUUAUCCGGAUUUAUUGGGUUUAAAGGGUGCGCAGGCGUUCUGUUAAGUCAGCGGUCAAAGUCCGGGGCUCACCCCCGGCCCGCCGUUGAAACUGGCAGUCUCGAGUUGGAGAGAAGUACGCGGAAUGCGCGGUGUAGCGGUGAAAUGCUUAGAUAUCGCGCAGAACCCCGAUUGCGAAGGCAGCGUACCGGCUCCACACUGACGCUGAGGCACGAAAGCGUGGGUAUCG
rnacentral:rRNA from 1 species